GAUGAACGCUGGCGGCGUGCCUAAUACAUGCAAGUCGAGCGAACAGACGAGGAGCUUGCUCCUCUGACGUUAGCGGCGGACGGGUGAGUAACACGUGGAUAACCUACCUAUAAGACUGGGAUAACUUCGGGAAACCGGAGCUAAUACCGGAUAAUAUAUUGAACCGCAUGGUUCAAUAGUGAAAGACGGUUUUGCUGUCACUUAUAGAUGGAUCCGCGCCGCAUUAGCUAGUUGGUAAGGUAACGGCUUACCAAGGCAACGAUGCGUAGCCGACCUGAGAGGGUGAUCGGCCACACUGGAACUGAGACACGGUCCAGACUCCUACGGGAGGCAGCAGUAGGGAAUCUUCCGCAAUGGGCGAAAGCCUGACGGAGCAACGCCGCGUGAGUGAUAAGGUCUUCGGAUCGUAAAACUCUGUUAUUAGGGAAGAACAAAUGUGUAAGUAACUAUGCACGUCUUGACGGUACCUAAUCAGAAAGCCACGGCUAACUACGUG
rnacentral:rRNA from 1 species